rnacentral:rRNA from 1 species
AUUGAACGCUGGCGGCAGGCCUAACACAUGCAAGUCGAGCGAGCGGCGGACGGGUGAGUAAUGUCUGGGAAACCGUCGGUUGGCGGGGGAUAACUACUGGAAACGGUAGCUAAUACCGCAUACCAUCAGAUGUGCCCAGAUGGGAUUGGCUAGUAGGUGGGGUAACGGCCCACCUAGGCGACGAUCCCUAGCCGGUCUGAGAGGUUGACCAGCCACACUGGGACUGAGACACGGUCCAGACUCCUACGGGAGGCAGCAGUGGGGAAUAUUGCACAAUGGGCGAAAGCCUGAUGCAGCCAGGCCGCGUGUGUGAAGAAGGCCUUCGGGUUGUAAAGCACUUUCAGCGGGGAGGCGUUACCCGCAGAAGAAGCACCGGCUAACUCCGUGCCAGCAGCCGCGGUAAUAC